GACAGAGGGUGCAAACGUUGUUCGGAAUUACUGGGCGUAAAGCGCGUGUAGGCGGCAGCGCAAGUCGGAUGUGAAAUCCCAUGGCUCAACCAUGGAAGUGCACCCGAAACUGCGUCGCUAGAGUCCUGGAGAGGAGGGUGGAAUUCCUGGUGUAGCGGUGAAAUGCGUAGAGAUCAGGAGGAACACCCGUGGCGAAGGCGGCCCUCUGGCUCGACCCUGACGCUGAGAGGCGAAAGCGUGGGGAGCGAACGGG
rnacentral:rRNA from 1 species